CAGUCGCCGCGGGAAUACGAAGGUCCCGAGCGUUGUUCGGAAUCACUGGGCGUAAAGGGAGCGUAGGCGGCGUGGUAAGUCAGAUGUGAAAUCCCGGGGCUCAACCCCGGAACUGCAUCCGAUACUGCCAUGCUAGAGGAUUGGAGAGGUAGCUGGAAUUCUUGGUGUAGCAGUGAAAUGCGUGGAGAUCAAGAGGAACACUCGUGGCGAAAGCGAGCUACUGGACAGUAACUGACGCUGAGGCUCGAAGGCCAGGGUAGCGAAAGGGAUUAGAUACCCCCGUAGUCCCUGUCUCUUAUAC
rnacentral:rRNA from 1 species